UGGCUCAGACGGUAAAGCGUCUGCCUGCAAUGCAGGAGACCCAGGUUCAAUCCCUGG
rfam:TPA: Bos taurus chromosome 2, whole genome shotgun sequence.